UAUAAGUAAAAGUAUGUGAAGGCUUCUCAAAGCCCUAUAAAUAGAGGUCCUCGCCUCUACUUUGUAGGCAGACUAUGUACCCCUACCUAUAAUAGAACUUGUUGUUCUUAUCUAAGAUCUUGGAGUAGAUCUUGUGCCCUAGGAGUUCUGGAUAGAACUCUUGCUGCCCUAUCAGCCUACAUUCGCCUCUAGAGCGAUAUCUAGCGCAGCACGUUGAAGCUGUUCCUUCAACACUUGUGUUGUACACAUUGUAGCAGCAAGGUGGGGUUGCUCCUCCACAAACUUUGUGCUGCUUCAGGUGGUAUCAGAGCCUCGUUGACCCAUAAUCGUUCUUGUUGUCCUCUUCGAGAGUAAGUUGCAGCAAGCAAUGGAGCAAUUGGAGAAGAGGAUGGAUGCUGCUGAACAACAAAUCAAAGAGCUGCGUGAAGAUCUUAAUAGGAGAUUUGACCAGCUGGUUGAGAUGAUAAGAAAGGGUGUCCCCCCUGCUACCAAUGAAGGAGAUUCAUCUAAAGAAGAGGAAGAUGUUCAUCAAGGAAGAAGGAGAGGUAAUCUUGGAGCAAGACCGCCACGACAGCAUGUUGUUCAACGUGCUUCAAGAAGGCCAAUUUAUGUUGAGGCUUCUGAAGGUGAAGAAUAUGAUGAUGCCCUUGAAGAGCCAAAUCUCUACGCAUAUCGGAGAGCACCCAACCCUACAUAUGCAAGAGAUACAUACAAGGUGAAAGCUGAGAUCCCAAGUUUUAAUGGAAAUGUUGACAUUGAAGGGUGCCUGGAUUGGUUAUAUGAAGUGGAGACUUUCUUUGAGGUCAUGGAGGUUCCGGAAGAUCGUAGAGUUCCUUUGGUCGCAUACAAACUGAAAGGAGGAGCCGGUGCAUGGUGGCAUCGCGUUCAAGAGGAGCGCAGGCUGAGAGGAGAACCUCGUGUUAGAACUUGGCGACAAAUGAAAGGCCUCUUGAAAGGGAGAUUUUUGCCCGCUGAUUAUGACCAGAUCCUAUUUAUCCAAUUUCAAAAUUGUGCUCAAGGAAAUAGGACUGUUUCAGAUUACAUGGAGGAGUUUCUAAGGCUACAAGUGAGGUGCAACCUUGCUGAAACUGAAGAGCAACAAGUUGCAAGGUACGUCAAUGGUCUCAAUGAUGCUAUUCAAGAUCGAUUGAUGAUGCAACAAAUCUGGUCCGUUGAUCAAGCACAAGCUCUAGCCUUAAAGGCCGAGAGGUUUGUGAGGAUGAGAAAGACAACUAAGGCUCCAUAUCCUCCAUAUCCUCAUACCGAAGGCUCAUCUAGGAGCCAACCUAAUAGAGUGGAAGAAAAGACCACUCCACCAAAGACAAAACAGCCCAUCCCGAAGCAAACUAGAGGCAAGGGUAAGGCAAAUGAAGGUCCAAAGUGCUAUAAAUGUGGUAAAGAGGGACACAUAUCCAGCGGCUGCCCACUAAGGAAAUUUGUUAACACGACUAUCCAUGAUAGUGAAAGCGAUGAGGAAGAAUACGAAUCUGAAGCGGACAAGAGGUUUGUCAAGAAGAAGGUGAAGAGGUGGUAUGUGUGAUCCAGCGUGUCCUAUGUUCCACACCACAACUCGAUGACACACAACGGAAGAAAAUAUUUGAGAGCAAAUGCAUGGUGAAUGGCAAGGUAUGCAAACUAGUGAUUGAUAGUUGCAGCUGCGAGAAUCUUAUCUCCCAGAAGUUGGUGGACCAUUUAAAGCUUGAAACCCAUGAUCAUCCAAAUCCCUACACUAUUGGAUGGAUCAAGAAAGGAGUGAAUAUGAGGAUCACCAAACAAUGCAACCUGCCACUUUCUUUGGGUAAGCAUUAUCGCUCAAAUGUGUUGUGUGAUGUGGUUGACAUGGAUGCCAGCCAUGUUCUUCUUGGGAGGCCUUGGAAAUUUGAUGUGGAUACUACACACAAGGGCAAGGAAAAUUCUUACUCUUUCAUUUGGAACAAGAGAAGGAUCAUUAUCUUACCAAACAAACCCGAAGGUAAUACCUCUAAGGAGGAGGGGAAAACUAUGUUAACUAUCUCCCAUACCUCUCAUGAGUUUAUGGAAGACUUGAAGGAGGCAGAUUUGUGUGCUGCACUUGUUGUAAAGGGAGAAGAGCACCUGACUGUUGAAAUUCCAGCAAAGGUACGUGGUUUAUUGGCAAAAUUUCAUAACAUACUUGGGGAGCCACAUGGCUUGCCACUGAUGAGAGGAAUUCAACAUAGAAUUGACUUAAUUCCGGGAGCAAGUCUUCCUAAUCUUCCACACUAUCGAAUGAGCCCAAAGGAGCAUGGUAUAUUGAAGGAGAAAGUGGAGGAAUUGUUGCAAAAGGGGCACAUUCGAGAAAGUAUUAGCCCACAUGCUGUACCAGCCCUACUCGCGCCAAAGAAAGAUGGAUCUUGGCGCAUGUGUACGGACAGUAGAGCCGUUAACAAGAUCACCGAAGGUAUAGAUUCCCUAUUCCCCGUCUGGAUGAUAUGUUGGAUCAGCUUAGUGGAGCAAGAGUGUUCACAAAGCUAGAUUUAAGAAGUGGAUAUCAUCAAAUCCGUAUAAGACCCGGGGAUGAAUGGAAAACCGCCUUCAAGACAAAGGAAGGGUUGUUUGAAUGGCUAGUCAUGCCAUUUGGACUCUCAAAUGCACCAAGUACCUUUAUGCACUUAAUGAAUCAAGUCCUUAGACCCUUCUUAUCCCACUUUGUUGUGGUCUAUUUCGAUGACAUCUUGAUCUAUAGCAAGGAUGAGGAUGAACACUUUGAUCACAUUCGGAAGGUGCUAGAAGUACUAAGGGAAAAUGAGCUCUACGUCAACUUGAAGAAAUGUGUUUUCCUGCAAACACAACUUCUUUUCCUAGGAUUCGUCAUAACAUGUGACGGCAUUCGUGUUGAUGAUUCUAAGGUUGAAGCAAUCCGAGAAUGGCCAACUCCUAAGACCAUUUCUGAGGUAAGAAGCUUUCAUGGCCUUGCAACUUUCUAUAGGCGAUUUGUUCAGAAUUUCAGCACUAUCAUGGCACCAAUUACCAAGUGUUUGAAGAAAGGAAAGUUCCAAUGGGCAGAAGCAGCUGAAGCUAGCUUCAAUGAGAUUAAACAAAAGCUAUCACAAGCUCCUGUCUUGGUACUACCUGAUUUCAACAAGACUUUUGAGUUGGAGUGUGAUGCAAGUGGAGUAGGCAUUGGAGCUUUCCUAUCUCAAGAAAGGAAGCCCAUUGCUUUCUUUAGUGAGAAGUUAAGUGAAGCUAAACAGAAAUGGAGUACCUAUCAGCAAGAAUUAUACGCCGUUUUCAGAGCGUUGAGAACUUGGGAAGUCUAUUUGCUGCCUAAAGAGUUCAUUGUUUAUAGCGACCAUCAAUCCUUGAAGCAUUUUAGAAAUCAAAAGCAUGUUGGCCGCAUGCUAGCAAGAUGGGCAGCAUAUCUUGAGAGGUUUAACUAUCUCAUCGUGCAUAAAUCUGGAAUAACUAACAGAGUGGCCGAUGCUUUGAGUUGUCGUGCAUGCCUCUUGACUUCUUUUGAAGCUGAACUUCCGGGCAUGGAUCAAAUAAAGGAGUUGUAUGAGGGUGACGAAGACUUUGGCCAUGUUUGGGUAAAGCACGCAAGGGGCCAACCAUUAGGUGGUGACUAUUUGAUGCAAGAUGGAUAUCUCUUCAAAAAUGAUCGUUUGUGCAUUCCAAGAAGUUCUCUACGUGACAAGCUGGUUAGAGAGCUCCAUUCAAGUGAUCUUAGUGGCCAUGUUGGACGGGACAAGACUAUCGCUAACCUGGAAGCUCGCUACUUUUGGCCACAACUAAAGAGAGAUGCUGGAAAGUUCGUUCAACGGUGCCCCGUAUGUCAGACCUGCAAAGGCCAAAUCCAGAACACAGGGUUAUACAUGCCUUUGCCUGUUCCUGUUGCUCCAUGGGAGGACAUUUCUAUGGACUUCGUCUUGGGCUUGCCAAGAACAAGACGAGGAAGUGAUGCUGUAUUUGUGGUCGUGGAUAGAUUCUCUAAGAUGGCUCAUUUCAUCCCAUGCUGCAAGACAACGGAUGCUCAUCAUGUGGCAAACCUAUUCUUUCGAGAAGUGGUCAGACUUCAUGGAGUUUCGAGGUCCAUUGUCUCAGACCGUGAUAGCAAGUUUCUUGCUGCAUUUUGGCUCACUUUGUGGAAGCAAGUCAACACUGAAUUGAAAUUUUCUAGCACUGCUCAUCAACAAACAGAUGGACAAACGGAAGUGGUGAACAAGUUUUUGGGUAAUCUGAUCCGUUGCAUUUGUGGAGAAAGAAAGGGGCAAUGGGAUUUGGCUUUAUCUCUUACAGAGUUCUCCUACAAUAACUCCAAGCAUAGAUCCACAGGAAAGAGCCCUUUUUUCAUUGUCUACACUAAAGUUCCAACACAUGUGGUGGACCUGGUGAAGCUGCCAUCAAGGGGAAACUCAAAAUCAGCAUUGUCCUUUGUUGAUAAUUACACCGAGUUAUUUGAAGAGAUUCGCGGCGCUUUGGAAGCACAAAAUCAGAAAUAUAAACAACUUGCUGAUUGCAAAAGGAGGCCAAAAUCAUUUCAAGUCGGUGAUAAGGUGAUGGUCUACCUUCGAAAAGAGAGGCUGCCUUUAGGUGUUAAAGGGAAACUUAGGCAGCGAAGGUAUGGGCCCUUCUCUAUCGUGAGGAAGAUAAAUGAUAAUGCUUAUAUGAUAGAUCUUCCAAGUGACAUGGGUAUCUCCAACACUUUCAAUGUGGCGGACUUGACUCUCUACCAUCCAGAAGAAGCGCUCUAUGAAGAUAACUCGAGGGCGAGUUCCAAACAACCAGGGAAGAAUGAUGAGGAACAUGAAAAUAUAAUCAUAUGUCAAAUCUGUUUGGCUACUUCUAGAUACUUCUGUUGUGGUCUAGUAUUUGUUUUCUUUUCUUUAUCCUACCUACUGUUUUCUAGAGUCUUCUAGUUGUGAGUACCUAUGAGUAGAAUGGUGAACCUUAAAUAAUGUUUCUAGAGUAUUCCAGCUAUAAGUAGAAGUAUGUGAAGGCUUCCCAAAGCCCUAUAAAUAGAGGUUCUCACCUCUACUUUGUAGGCAGACUAUGUACCCCUACCUAUAAUAGAACUUGUUGUUCUUAUCUAAGAUCUUGGAGUAGAUCUUGUGCCCUAGGAGUUCUGGAUAGAACUCUUGCUGCCCUAUCAGCCUACAUUCGCCUCUAGAGCGAUAUCUAGCGCAGCACGUUGAAGCUGUUCCUUCAACACUUGUGUUGUACACAUUGUAGCAGCAAGGUGAAGUUGCUCCUCCACAACCUUUGUGCUGCUUCAAGAAGUGUCGUUGGUUUUAGUUCAAAUUUAUGACAAUUACUUUGGAACGAGGGAGUAUGUGAUUUUAUUAGGAAUUAAGCUGUCAAUUUUACUUUCACCCUUUCAGCUUCAGAAUAUACUACCAACCAAACAGAUGAACAAAACAUUAUGGUCAACAGAAGAGAGGAAAUGCAUACAUCCACAAACUUUUUCCUCUUUCUCUUGUACACUACCUUUCAUCAAAGGCGUAGUACUUUUUGUGAUGGUCUGGAUCACACAAUCUACGUACAAAAUAAAUCUUCAACAAUCAACUAAUGCUUCAUCAGGAUACCAAGCGGAAAUUAGAGCGCAACAGAAUACCCAGAUGAACAAAAGAAAUACUUGUCAACAAAACCAGGAAGCUACACAGGGUUGGUUUUCAUCUGGAAUUCACAACUUGCCUAUUGCGUUAUCAUCUACUAUUGGGUACUUGUUAUCUGCAACGAUCCGUCCUUCUGCAGCUUCAAGCUGAGGCUAGUGAACCGUUCUCUCGAAUAUUGUCUCGAGGCUUUCCUCCAGUCGGUUCCGGCCUUCAUCAUUGCCACAAACUCAUCAAAGCUUAUCUUGCCAUCCUACAAUUCAUGAAUCACAAUGUUCAUCAUUUCAGUCAGAGUCAAAUGAUAGCAAUCAAAAGGAUGAGAAACAAAACUAGUAUGCUUUGCCAACCAGUUGGUGAGUUACCUUAUCAGUGUCUACAUCACGGAUGAUGGCAUUGAUAACCUCUUCAUGAUUUGGUCCCAGAUCAUCAGCUAAUGACUCCCGGAGUUCAUCAAUUUCAAUAUAUCCACUCUUGUUCCGAUCAAAGUAUCCAAAUGCCUUAUGCAGAUGUUCGUCAUUGCCGAUCUUUUUCAGGUGAACAGACAGAGUAACAAAUUCUCCAUAGUCUAAGCACCCAUUUCCAUCAGCGUCAGCCUGGCAUAACAUUCACAUAUGGUAAAUAUAUGAUAAAAAUACCCCUCGCCUUCAACACGUAGUAAUAUGUAGAAAGUGCACCCAUCUAAUGUUAAAUGAUCAUUUCAAGUUCAGGAAAGAAAAACUUAAAAGAACAUUUGCUAUACUGCCUUACAAGCUCCUCACUUAGAGGGGUGUUUCUACAAUCUCUAUCACUAGUAUGCUAACAAUUCCAUUUCAGCCAGUUUACCAGGUAUGAUCUUUGAAUUCUGAUAUGAUACUUAUGAAACUCAGUUGAUAAAAGUGUGGCGAUGGUGAUUCUACAUAGAAACAAAACAUUCCAGUGUAAUAACAAAGAGUUGCAAAAGUUUCUCAGAAUAAAGAAAAAUAAUGAGUACUCACAGCAUCCAUUAGUAUUUGGACAUCUGCAUCAGGCAUUUGGUGGCCAAGUUUAUUCAGACCAAGCUUCAGUUCAUCAAAAUUAAUCAUACUGUCUUUGUUCAGGUCCAUCUUUUCAAACAUAUCCUUUAUGCCGGCCACCUCUUCUACCGAAAGAUGCUCAGCUAUGACCUGUAAUAAAUACAAAUAUGUAAGCAAAUUCCUAGAAAGCAAGUCUAACGUGAAAGAGGAUUGGUUCAAGUCAGACUGAGGUAUACCCUAAGUGCAUGCUUCUUGAACUUGUUCAUCACAGAGAACUGUUGAAGUCUGGCCUUAACUGUCUCACCCAAAUUGACAUUUGGAGCCUUCUUAAUAUUCUGCAACCAGGGAUGAUCUGGAAGAAAAUACAAAUUAUGGACGUGAGACACAAGCAAUGCAAUUAAAUUAUCUUGGGGCGGAAAUCAUCUGAAAUUUACACAAGGUAUGUAAUUCUGUAUCCGUUUAAGAAGAACAGAGGAAUGCAAUACAGUACAGUUAACUUGUGGAAAUCUGAUUAUUACCAAGCACUUGCUGAGCUGUCAAACGCCUCCUUGGAUCUGGGUUAAGCAUUCCCCUGACAAGGUCUUUUGCAUUAUCUGAGACCCUAGGCCAUGGAUCUCUUUUAAAGUCAAUGACAGACCGGAUAAUUGCUUGAGCAACACCUUGCUCAGUUUCUGCAUUAUAAAAUGGAAGCAACAAACAUAUUACUUAGAAAGAGCAUUCAAUAGGACAAGAUAAAUAUAUUUUUCUCAACCACAGUCCACAGGCCAGUCACCCCAGAGGCAAAAUAAGGAAAACAAAACUUCAGUGUAGAAGGUGACACAUGGCCCCUUUGUGCAGACAGGACAUAAGAACACACUCCACUUUUAGUAUCCUAAAUGUUUAAUGUAGUUGACUGAUGCCACCAAAACAAUUGACCAUUUUCAGGUACAAAACUGACCUGCCCAGAAUGGAGGGACACCACAAAGAAGGAUGUAAAGAAUCACUCCUGCACUCCAAACAUCAACCUCUUGGCCAUAGUUUCUCUUUAACACCUCUGGAGCCAUGUAAUAAGGACUUCCAACAAUCUCAGUGAACCGUUCACCUACACAUCACGAACAGUUAGCACAUUAGGCAAACAAUACAAGGCAAAAAUAGACAGCAUAAGACAGGCUACUAUAUCAGCUCUGUCCUCUGACAAUAUCAUCGACAAAUAUAGAUUGUACCUGGAGUGAAAAAAACAGACAGGCCAAAAUCAAUUGCUUUCAGCGCCGCGGUUUCUUUCUUGUUUGCAAACAAGAAAUUCUCUGGUUUGAGGUCCCGGUGCAUCACUCCAUGCUUAUGGCACAUCUGAUAUUGUGAACAAAUGUACACACGUUAUUCACUAAACAGACAAAAAAGGGAAGUUGCAGCAAUCUAACUACUACUGCCAAGCUAAAGAUGUGGUCCUUGAUAAGCUAAUAGCCCGAAUGACAACAGCAAAUGCAGAAAUUGAUUGCUUCACAGGAUCGAUCGUAACCUAUUCAAUGAAACAUAUAGACACCAGAAUCAUGUGACAGGUAGCCAACAAAUAUUUCCACGGUGGAUCACAUCACAGAAUGAACGCAUCCCGUGAGUGUGAGGACAAGCUUAGCCAAAAGGCAAAGGAAGGAAUCAAGGGGGUAUUUAUUCUCA
rnacentral:lncRNA from 1 species